CCCUCACCACACCUUUAACUAAAUCCAGUCUGAAACCAGGUAUCAUUUGCACCAUAUGGGAUUUGACGCAGGUAUUUUUUCUUCUCCUUCCUGUGUCUUGUAUACAGAAACACUUACAUGGCAUAAUGAAUGUUUGCAAAUGUAAACUGAUAUUUCCUACUGGCACAAUCAAGAACAAGUGUGAUCAAGUCAACCUAGAUCAAGACAAGACAGGCAGAGAUCUUCUGUCAACAAUAGAAAGGCAGAAAGAUAUCACUGGAGAGUAAAUGAAAAUAGCCACAUGCAAAGCAAAGGUGUCAACAAGACCAGGAAUCUAAGAGGAAAUAGUCCAAAAUCUUCCAUACAUCAGGUGCUUCAGACUAACAAAACAUCCCAGGUAAUGGAAGACGAGGACCAAAUCAUGGAUAUUCUUAAUUUUACACAAAGUGCUUUGCACAGAGAAACUUUUGGAUGUGCUGUAGUAAGUUACUGAUCACCUCAUGAGCUGAACAAAUCCCAAAUAUAUUGCCAGUAUCACCCAGGAUCCAUCAGAAAUGCAACCCAGGACUGGCACCAGCACCACAACUUGCCUGCUGACAUUGCUUGAGGAAGAGGCCUACAAUCCUUAGAGGACAUAAAGAGAGAAAGACACUCUAACUCAGGACUAUUCAGUUAGCUUCAUUUGAGGUCCAGAUUAUCAAACUGAAAAUUUGAAGGGGAGUAGGGGCCAUCCCAAUCUCUUUCUGGGGUCCCUUUAAAAUUAGAAAUUAAAUGUAAAUGCCUAUUCAGCAGUAAAAUGAAAUAAUAUUACAUACAGUAGCAUCUAGGCUAUAAAAGGUUAACAUUAGUGCUAUCCAAAUGAAUAUAGAAACAACAUAAAGAUGGCGUUUUAAAUAUGUUUAAUGACAUCUUUUUACUAGCCUAUUAUUAAUGAAGACCAGUAUCAUUGAUACCAAUAAUGUUACCGAUGUCUCUAUUAUAUUAAUUUUCCCCUCAAUUUUAGCCAUUAAUUAUAGCCAUUUAACAUGACAGUAUAAUUGAAAGCCAUUAUUUUCAACAUUUAUUAGGCUUUGAACAAUAAAACAAAUUUUAAUUUAAGUGAACUUAAAAAAAUCUUAACAUAAAUUCUAAAUUGUAUGCAUAAGCUAUAUUAAUGAAACUUUAUUAAGAUACAAAAUUUAAUCAGCAAGCAGAACAGUCGAGUGUUUUUUCUUUUUCUUUUGUUCUUUGAUAAGUCACACACUACAGCAGGUUUCACUUUAAAAGCAGCGCUGUCUCUUUAAAUCCUGAUGCACAUGAUGCCUAUCUGAUACAUAUCAGAUUCCAUUUCAAAAGGGAACUCCACGCUGCGUCCUCUAGAGGGCGCUAUGGGAACGCCUCCAGCGU